AUACGGAGGGUGCGAGCGUUAAUCGGAAUUACUGGGCGUAAAGCGUACGUAGGCGGUUGGUUAAGUUAGAUGUGAAAGCCCCGGGCUUAACCUGGGAACUGCAUUUAAAACUGGCGAACUAGAGUUGAGUAGAGGGGAGUGGAAUUUCAGGUGUAGCGGUGAAAUGCGUAGAGAUCUGAAGGAACACCAGUGGCGAAGGCGACUCCCUGGACUCGAACUGACGCUGAGGUACGAAAGCGUGGGUAGCAAACGGGAUUAGAAACCCCGGUAGUCC
rnacentral:rRNA from 1 species